UACACACCGCCCGUCACAUCACGAAAGUUGUCUGUACCGGAAGCCGGUGGGCUAACCCGAAAGGGAGGCAGCCGUCCAUGGUAUGGAGAGCGAUUGGGGUG
rnacentral:rRNA from 1 species